ensembl:lncRNA
CAGAAUUCUCUGAGCAGCUGGAAAAAGCUGCUAAUAAACAAAGACAUCAGAAAGCGUGGGCUUUAGGUGUAGCCCACGCUUUCUGAUGCACUAAUUAGACUUAGUAACCGACACCCCAUACCAGCAUCACAUAGACACUUGGGGGCUGAGCUGGGUGGGUGGUGUUAUAAGCACUUGUUUUGUUAGAUGUAUUUUUUCAGACAGGGCACAGUCUCCUUUGUGGCAAAACCUUCAAACUUCACCAUCCUCAGCUGAAACAACAACAUCUUAACCCCAUCUUCAUAAACUGCUGAGCCAAACCUGAUCCAUCAGUGCUGGACUGCACAGAUAACUACAUGCCACAAGGAGACUGCUGUGUUAUGAACUGCCAUACCAGUGUGUCUUCAAUGGAGAAGAUGACACACCCAUCACCUGACCUCCUGCCUGAUCUGGAGACCAUCAUCAUGCUGCCACACUACACACCUCUGAGACCAUCAAUGAUGACUGAUACUGAGGAAACUGUAUUUCCUGUCAGAGAUGCUCAGUGAUCCUCAGAGCAGAGAGAGGUACUGCUGUCUUCUGAGUUCUUCAGUGUCCCAACUGAGACAUUCAAACCUCAUUGCAGAGCUCAUGUCUUUCCUCACCAUCAUGUGAGUGUGAGAUUGCUCUGGAUUCUGGUUAUGUGGCCUGCAGCACCUAUAAGAACAAGCUCGUCCAGUGUGCCUGCAUUCCAGCUUCUUAUACUCU